GACGAACGCUGGCGGCGUGCUUAACACAUGCAAGUCGAGCGGAUCGGCGAACGGGUGAGUAACGCGUGAGUAACUGACCCCCUCUCUGGGAUCCCAGUUGGAAACGGCUGCUAAUACAGGCUAGUGGGGGAUGACUCGCGUCCUAUCAGCAUGUUGGUGGGGUAGUGGAAUACCAAGGCGACGACGGGUAGCCGGCCUGGGAGGGCGACCGGCCACAGUGGGCUGAGAUACGGCCCAAAAGCCUACGGGAGGCAGUAGAGGGGAAUAUUGCAGAAUGGGGGAAAGCGUGAUGCAGCAAUGCCGCGGUCGGGAUGACGGGCUGCGGGUUGUAAACCGCUUUCAUCCAUGACGCGGUAGUGGCAGAGGAAGCACCGGCUAACUACGUGCCAGCAGCCGCGGUAAUAC
rnacentral:rRNA from 1 species